rnacentral:tRNA from 1 species
UCCCUGAUGGUCCUCUGGCUAAGACUCUGUGCUCCCAAUGCAGAGGGUCCAUGUUCAAUCCCUGGUCAAGGAA